AGUGGAUGAAUUGAUACAAUUUGUAAAGAAAACCACCGGGUUAACCAUUGAUCAGACGACCAGACGAGGCUUCAAUAUGGUGUUUGGGAAUCCCACAUAUGACCUUAAUGAAAAUGGGACUAUUGAAUUAAAUGAAUAUGCUGGACUUGUGAGAAUGGGAAUGGGAAAAUAGAGCGACAAAAUGUAUCAACCUGUGAAGACUGGAACUGUACAACUUUAAUUAUAACCAAACUGAUAAUUAUAUUGUCUUAAAAUCUUUAAGGAAUUUCUCCUUAUGUAACUUGAUAUAAAUAAAAGAUAUCUAUGUCUAA